ensembl:lncRNA novel transcript
GAGACUGGCUGAGUCUUCUGGUCUUCAUCUUUCUCCCAUGCUGGAUGCUUCCUGCCCUUGAACAUUGGACUGCAAGUUCUUUAGCUUUUGGACGUUUGGACUUACACCAGUGGUUUGCCAGGGGCUCUCAGACCUUCUGCCACAGACUGAAGGCUGCACUUUCAGCUUCCCUACUUUUGAGGUUUUGGAACUCGGACUGGCUUUCUUGCUCCGCAGCUUGCAGGUGGCCUGUUAUGGGACUUUACCUUGUGGAUCAUAAAAAUAGAAAAGUUGACUACUUUGAAAAGGAAACUAUGACAAACAAGUAUAUAUUCAGGAAAGGGACUCCUAGAACUUGAGCAACAAAAAAAAGAGUUCAACCUCAGCACAGUGGAGUCUGCAGUGUCUUUGCAACUACAGAAAUGAACUUGUGUUCCUCACAUCCUUGAGAGUCGAGAUUUGCAUUUCUCUACAGAGCUCGGGCUGAAUGAAGCAAAGAGACCUCUGCCACCCCCACUAGCUGGCCCAGUCCUGGAAACGGAAGCAGUCACUUGCGAUCUUCCACACUGUAUUCCUGGGUGAGGCCUGGGCGGUCAGGAUGAAGUUCUGGUUGAAGUCCCAUUGUUUGUUCCCCUUCAAACUUCACUGAUCCACAGAUCACAACAAGGACCGUGGUCUGGCUCAUUGUGGCUUCAUCAUGAACAGGCUGACAGUCUACCACGCUGAUUUGGAACUCGCUGGAAGGCAACAUUUCAAAAAACUCACUCAAAGAUUCUUGUCCUGAAACAGCAUUGCCGUUCCAGACCAGGGUGGCUGUGCCCAUGUACAGGCGGGACAGUGCACAGCUAUAGCAUGUUGCAUGCCAAGGGACAUAAGGACUCCACCUACUGCCAGAAAAAGGAUCCUCAUUGUCAUCUGGGCAGAGAAUGACACAGCUCCAAAAUCCCACUUUAAAUUCUGUUUCCAAGGACCACUUGACCACCUUUUGACACAGAGUCCCUGGAGAUGAGCUUUGUCUGAGAAGAAAAUUUGUGUACAGAAAGUUUAUUGGCAAUCACACUCAGAAACAAGACACUUAAGAAAAUGAUGGAAUAAAAAUUGCGUAGAGAUAGAAGCUGACCUGCGAUACAUACUCAAAUUAAAUCUUAGUUAAUAACAUGAAGUUCUCUGCAGCUGAGAUGGCUAAUGAGAAUUGUUCUAAAUUCAGAAGAGGAAGCUUGGCCUUUGACCCUUAUAUCAACAUGGCAAGGGGCAUGAUCUUGAGUGAGGCGUCUCCCAGAGGGCAGCCCCCGGAGAAGGGCGCAGGACUAGCCAUCAGGAGCCAACACUCCUAGCAGCUGGGUGAACAAACUCCAGAAUGGGUCCUGUAGAGAGGACCUGGGUGAUGCACCACAAUGCCUGCGACAGGGACGAUAUCUCUGGGUUAGAGAGGAUGGGGAUGAAAUCGUGAAAACUGGAAGCUUAGAAAUGUUUACGACUGGGUGAAAGGAGGUAGUCAGUGGUUAUACAUUAUUUACAUGAUCAAUUCAUCCCAGAUCAUGGAACCCCCUGACGCUAAAUCAAACAGAGAUCAAACAAAUGUGUUUUAUUUUCUGCCAGCUAAUGAAUGCUCACACACAUAUAUAUGUAAUCAUUGUUGUAAAUUAUUCAGUCUCCUGCCCUGGUAAUGCACCGCUGCUCUCUGAGCAUGCUCAAGAGUCAUUUAUCACAUCACUUUAGAAUCAGCUCCUCCAGAAGAUUUCCUUUAAUAUCUUUACUGACUUUUCAAGAGUUCAGCAACAACCGAUUAAUUCCUUUUUAUCCUGCCCCAAAUGUCCCAAAUAUUUUCAUAUUGCCUUAAAAUAUUUAUCUUGGGCCAGUUUCCAAUCUUGCUUGAUUCUUCAUCUCAUCUUGCUUCAAGGAGAAAUUUCCUUUGAUGUCCAUAGUAAACUACUUCCUUGAAAGGCUACAUGUGGUUGUUUAAGAGGAUUAGAAAGAAACUUGGUCAGAUCACUCUGUCAAGCUGUCAAGGCUUUCAUCUUUUCAACCUACCUCCUGUGAAUUCCUUGAGACCCUCUAACCCGUAUGAAUAUGUUUUCCAUUUUUUUGUGGAGGGUGGUAGUUUUUGUUGUUGUCUGCCCUUUAAAAAAUUAUUCUCAUCACUGAAUGGCACCAUGGCCCCAAAUAUCUGCAUUAGAAAUAUUUACCCAAAGGUAAUCUUCUACCACAUGCUCCCAAUUUAGUGUAAAAUUACAUAGUAAAUUCUGACUAAUGACUGUGUUUGAAAUAAUUUUUCUUUGCUCUUUUAUUUUUUUUAACACAUUUCUACUCAUCUUUCCAUAGCUUCUACAAAUACCACUCUCUCUUGUAAAACCUUUCUUUAUUUCUCCUGGGCAGAAUUAAUCACAUUUUCUUCUGGAUACCUCUACUAGUUCAUUCAUUCAUUCAUUCUGCAGUUGCUUAUUGAAGUCUACUAUACGUCACAUAUUGUACUGAUUCUGAGUACAGAUAUAAGAAAACUCCCUGCUUUUUUAGAUCAGUGAAAAAGAAGAGUAAAUAAAUAGUUAUUACAGUGUCAUAACUUCGAUGAUAGAGGAAGCAGAAGAUGCUGUGGAAAGAGAAUGGGGGAACUCAAUUUGGACUGAGUCUCAAAGGAUGAAUGACGGUUUUCCAGUUGUAGGGGGCAAGAUGGACAUUUUGGUGAGAGGAAGCAGUCUGAGCCGGGCAGGCCUCUUUAGGAGAAUUAUAUGUAGCUGCAAAAGGCUAGAGCACGAUACAUGUGCAGGUCUAACUAGGCACUUGGAAAGGAAGGCAAAGCCAUGCUGAGUCACUUGGGAAGCCACUGAAGGUUUAUUCCUAAGAAAGUGACAUGAUAUACCUUUUCAUAUUAUCUUUCUAUAAAAGAGUUAACCAAAGGGGAAGAAAAAAGACAAUAUAAGGAAGUAAAAGCUAAGAGUAAUAUCUGUAACAAAUAAAAUACGUGGAUUAAUAUUCUUAAUAAAUGCCUUAAAAUCAGUUAGGAAAAGUACUAACAUUCCAGUAGUAGGCAAAGGACACAUUUUUUGCUUAUAUUAUUCUUUUUAAUUGACACAUAUUAAUUGUGCAUAUUUAUGGGGUACAAAGUGAUAUUUUGAUAUGUGCAUACGAUGUGUAAUGAUAUCCACCACCUGUAAAAUUUAUGAUGUUUUGUGUGAGGAACAUUCAAAAUCCACUCUUCUAGCUAUUUAAAAAUAUACAAUAAUUUAUUGUUAAUAAUUGUCACCCUACAGUGGUAUAGAACACUAGAACUUAUUCUUCCUCUCUAGCUAUAAUUUUGUAUUCCUUAACCAAUUUCUGGCUGCCCUCCCUUUCUUCUACCAUUCCCACCCUCUAGUGACUCUUAUUUUACUCUCUGAGAUCAAUGUUUUUAGCUACAUAUGAGU